rnacentral:rRNA from 1 species
CAGCGCCACGGUAAUACGUAGGUGGCAAGCGUUGUCCGGAAUUAUUGGGCGUAAAGGGCUCGCAGGCGGUUUCUUAAGUCUGAUGUGAAAACCCCCGGCUCAACCGGGGAGGGUCAUUGGAAACUGGGAAACUUGAGUGCAGAAGAGGAGAGUGGAAUUCCACGUGUAGCGGUGAAAUGCGUAGAGAUGUGGAGGAACACCAGUGGCGAAGGCGACUCUCUGGUCUGUAACUGACGCUGAGGAGCGAAAGCGUGGGGAGCGAACAGGAUUAGAUACCCGAGUAGUCCCUGUCUCUUAUACA